rnacentral:rRNA from 1 species
AGAGUUUGAUCAUGGCUCAGGAUGAACGCUGGCGGCGUGCCUAACACAUGCAAGUCGAGCGAUUUACUUCGGUAAAGAGCGGCGGACGGGUGAGUAACGCGUGGGUAACCUGCCCUGUACACACGGAUAACAUACCGAAAGGUAUGCUAAUACGAGAUAAUAUGCUUUUAUCGCAUGGUAGAAGUAUCAAAGCUUUUGCGGUACAGGAUGGACCCGCGUCUGAUUAGCUAGUUGGUAAGGUAACGGCUUACCAAGGCGACGAUCAGUAGCCGACCUGAGAGGGUGAUCGGCCACAUUGGAACUGAGACACGGUCCAAACUCCUACGAGAGGCAGCAGUGGGGAAUAUUGCACAAUGGGCGAAAGCCUGAUGCAGCAACGCCGCGUGAGCGAUGAAGGCCUUCGGGUCGUAAAGCUCUGUCCUCAAGGAAGAUAAUGACGGUACUUGAGGAGGAAGCCCCGG